AUUGAACGCUGGCGGCAGGCCUAACACAUGCAAGUCGAGCGGAUGACGGGAGCUUGCUCCUUGAUUCAGCGGCGGACGGGUGAGUAAUGCCUAGGAAUCUGCCUGGUAGUGGGGGACAACAUUUCGAAAGGAACGCUAAUACCGCAUACGUCCUACGGGAGAAAGCAGGGGACCUUCGGGCCUUGCGCUAUCAGAUGAGCCUAGGUCGGAUUAGCUAGUAGGUGAGGUAAUGACUCACCUAGGCGACGAUCCGUAACUGGUCUGAGAGGAUGAUCAGUCACACUGGAACUGAGACACGGUCCAGACUCCUACGGGAGGCAGCAGUGGGGAAUAUUGGACAAUGGGCGAAAGCCUGAUCCAGCCAUGCCGCGUGUGUGAAGAAGGUCUUCGGAUUGUAAAGCACUUUAAGUUGGGAGGAAGGGUUGUACGUUAAUACCGUGCAAUUUUGACGUUACCGACAGAAUAAGCACCGGCUAACUCUGUGCCAGCAGCCGCGGUAA
rnacentral:rRNA from 1 species